rnacentral:rRNA from 1 species
UACGUAGGGUGCGAGCGUUAAUCGGAAUUACUGGGCGUAAAGUGUGCGCAGGCGGUCUUGCAAGUCAAGUGUGAAAGCCCCGGGCUUAACCUGGGAACUGCGCUUGAAACUACGAGACUCGAGUGUGGCAGAGGAAGGUGGAAUUCCACGUGUAGCGGUGAAAUGCGUAGAUAUCGGGAGGAACACCAGUGGCGAAGGCGACUACCUGGUCCGAUACUGACGCUGAGGCGCGAAAGCGUGGGGAGCAAACAGG